AUCUUUGCACAGUGGCAGUAUCAUAGCCAUUUAAGGAAGUUAAUCAGAGGUGUGAUUAUUGCUAAUUGAAAACUUUUUCCCAAUAUCCCGUCAUGAAACAUGAACAAUAGUCUGCACUGACAGUUUUUGAAAGUUCAUUCUCUGAUCACUGAG